UUGAGCACUUCCUCGCCCGCCUCCUCGGCGGUGCGGUACGCGGUGUGCCCCUCCUGCCACAGGAACUCGCGGGUACGCAGGAACGGCUGCGGCGGCUUGAACUCCCAACGCUGUACUUACCGAGUAUUUGAAGCACUUCCUCGCCCGCCUCCUCGGCGGUGCGGUACGCGGUGUGCCCCUCCUGCCACAGGAACUCGCGGGUGCGCAGGAACGGCUGCGGCUGCUUGAACUCCCAA